AGUGAACGCUGGCGGUAGGCCUAACACAUGCAAGUCGAACGGCAGCACAGUAAGAGCUUGCUCUUACGGGUGGCGAGUGGCGGACGGGUGAGGAAUACAUCGGAAUCUACUUUUUCGUGGGGGAUAACGUAGGGAAACUUACGCUAAUACCGCAUACGACCUACGGGUGAAAGCAGGGGAUCUUCGGACCUUGCGCGAUUGAAUGAGCCGAUGUCGGAUUAGCUAGUUGGCGGGGUAAGGACCCACCAAGGCGACGAUCCGUAGCUGGUCUGAGAGGAUGAUCAGCCACACUGGAACUGAGACACGGUCCAGACUCCUACGGGAGGCAGCAGUGGGGAGUAUUGGACAAUGGGCGCAAGCCUGAUCCAGCCAUACCGCGUGGGUGAAGAAGGCCUUCGGGUUGUAAAGCCCUUUUGUUGGGAAAGAAAAGCAGCAGGUUAAUACCCCGCUGUUCUGACGGUACCCAAAGAAUAAGCACCGGCUAACUUCGUG
rnacentral:rRNA from 1 species